rnacentral:rRNA from 1 species
CCUACGGGGGGCACCAGUGGGGAAUAUUGCACAAUGGGCGCAAGCCUGAUGCAGCCAUGCCGCGUGUAUGAAGAAGGCCUUAGGGUUGUAAAGUACUUUCAGUUGGGAGGAAGGCGUUGAUGCUAAUAUCAUCAACGAUUGACGUUACCAACAGAAGAAGCACCGGCUAACUCCGUGCCAGCAGCCGCGGUAAUACGGAGGGUGCAAGCGUUAAUCGGAAUUACUGGGCGUAAAGCGCACGCAGGCGGUUGAUUAAGUUAGAUGUGAAAUCCCCGGGCUUAGCCUGGGAAUGGCAUCUAAGGCUGGUCAGCUAGAGUCUUGUAGAGGGGGGUAGAAUUCCAUGUGUAGCGGUAAAAUGCGUAGAGAUGUGGAGGAAUACCGGAGGCGAAGGCGGCCCCCUGGACAAAGACUGACGCUCAGGUGCGAAAGCGUGGGGAGCAAACAGGAUUAGAUACCCCGGUAGUC